UCUUAAGCAGGCUCCAUCUACUAUUUGAAGCUUCUGCCUCAGCUUGCAUUGUUUGUAAGAGAACCUGCAUCAUACCUUUAUCUGUAGCCUUCCCUUAGGUCUUAAGGAUCCUGAAACUUUCCUGUGGACAUUUGGUGGAACAGCAAUCAUGACUGUGGGAAAGAGUAGCAAGACGCUUUGACUAUAGGAUGAGAUGUAUCCUGCAAGAUGGUCGUAUCUUCAUUGGCACCUUUAAGGCUUUUGACAAGCAUAUGAACUUGAUCCUCUGUGAUUGUGAUGAUUUCAGGAAGAUCAAGCCAAAGAAUGCUAAGCAGCCAGAGCGUGAAGAAAAGCGAGUUUUGGGUCUGGUGUUGUUGCGUGGGGAGAACUUGGUUUCCAUGACUGUGGAGGGACCACCCCCCAAAGAUACUGGCCUUGCUCGGGUACCACUUGCUGGAGCUGCAGGGGGCCCUGGGGUUGGCAGGGCAGCUGGCAGAGGCGUUCCAACUGGUGUUCCAAUUCCCCAGGCUCCUGCUGGAUCAGCAGGCCCUGUCCGAGGGGUUGGGGGCCCAUCUCAACAGGUAAUGACCCCACAGGGAAGAGGCACUGUAGCAGCUGCUGCAGUUGCUGCUACUGCCAGCAUUGCUGGAGCUCCAACUCAGUAUCCACCAGGACGGGGGACUGCACCUGCACCUGCUGGUCGAGCAACCCCACCUCCAGGAAUUAUGGCUCCUCCGCCUGGUAUGAGACCACCCAUGGGCCCACCAAUUGGGCUUCCUCCUACUCUUGGGACGCCAAUAGGCAUGCCCCCUCCAGGAAUGAGACCCCCUCCACCAGGGAUAAGAGGUCCACCUCCCCCAGGAAUGCAUCCACCAAGACCCUAGGAUACUGUUGAUCCUUCUUAGUCACUUUUUGUCCUGCAGUGCAGCUUGUGAAAUGUGUGAAAUGUUUGUGAGCUUUUGUCCCCUUCUGCUCCAUUAAUAUUAGCUAAUAAAUGCAUAGAGCAAUUAAACUGUGAA